UACGUAGGCAGCGAGCGUUAAUCGGAAUUACUGGGCGUAAAGCGUGCGCAGGCGGUUCGCCAAGUCAGGUGUGAAAUCCCCGGGCUUAACCUGGGAAUUGCGCUUGAAACUAGCGGGCUUGAGUGUGGCAGAGGGGGGUGGAAUUCCACGUGUAGCAGUGAAAUGCGUAGAGAUGUGGAGGAACACCGAUGGCGAAGGCAGCCCCCUGGGUCAACACUGACGCUCAUGCACGAAAGCGUGGGGAGCAAACAGG
rnacentral:rRNA from 1 species